rnacentral:rRNA from 1 species
UAGUGGCGAACGGGUGAGUAACACGUGGGCAAUCUGCCCUUCACUCUGGGACAAGCCCUGGAAACGGGGUCUAAUACCGGAUAACACUGCGGAUCUCAUGGUCUGCGGUUAAAAGCUCCGGCGGUGAAGGAUGAGCCCGCGGCCUAUCAGCUUGUUGGUGAGGUAAUGGCUCACCAAGGCGACGACGGGUAGCCGGCCUGAGAGGGCGACCGGCCACACUGGGACUGAGACACGGCCCAGACUCCUACGGGAGGCAGCAGUGGGGAAUAUUGCACAAUGGGCGAAAGCCUGAUGCAGCGACGCCGCGUGAGGGAUGACGGCCUUCGGGUUGUAAACCUCUUUCAGCAGGGAAGAAGCGAAAGUGACGGUACCUGCAGAAGAAGCGCCGGCUAACUACGUGCCAGCAGCCGCGGUAAUACGUAGGGCGCAAGCGUUGUCCGGAAUUAUUGGGNCGUAAAGAGCUCGUAGGCGGCUUGUCACGUCGAUUGUGAAAGCUCGGGGCUUACCCCCGAGUCUGCAGUCGAUACGGNCUAGCUAGAGUGUGGNAGGGGAGAUCGGAAUUNCU